AUUGAACGCUGGCGGCAGGCCUAACACAUGCAAGUCGAACGAGUGGCGGAAGGGUGAGUAAUGUAUGGGAAACUGCCCGAUGGAGGGGGAUAACUACUGGAAACGGUAGCUAAUACCGCAUACCAUCGGAUGUGCCCAGAUGGGGUUAGCUAGUUGGUGGGGUAAAGGCUCACCAGGGCGACGAUCCGUAGCUGGUUUGAUAGGACGACCAGCCACACUGGGACUGAGACACGGCCCAGACUCCUACGGGAGGCAGCAGUGGGGAAUUUUGGACAAUGGGGGAAACCCUGAUCCAGCCAUCCCGCGUGUAUGAAGAAGGCCUUCGGGUUGUAAAGUACUUUCAGCGAGGAGGCGUUACUCGCAGAAGAAGCACCGGCUAACUCCGUGCCAGCAGCCGCGGUAAUUC
rnacentral:rRNA from 1 species